rnacentral:rRNA from 1 species
AUUGAACGCUGGCGGCAGGCCUAACACAUGCAAGUCGAGCGAGCGGCGGACGGGUGAGUAAUGUCUGGGAAACUGCCUGAUGGAGGGGGCGAACUACAGGAAACGGUAGCUAAUAACGCAUACCAUCAGAUGUGCCCAGAUGGGAGUAGCUAGUAGGGGGGGUAACGGCUAACCUAGGCGACGAUCCCUAUCUGGUCUGAGAGGAGGACCAGCCACACUGGAACUGAGACACGGUCCAGACUCCUACGGGAGGCAGCAGUGGGGAAUAUUGCACAAUGGGCGCAAGCCUGAUGCAGCCAUGCCGCGUGUGUGAAGAAGGCCUUCGGGUUGUAAAGCACUUUCAGCGGGGAGGCGUUACCCGCAGAAGAAGCACCGGCUAACUCCGUGCCAGCAGCCGCGGUAAUAC